CUGAGGAAGUGGAGUGUCGCUGGCCGCCUUGCUGAGGCUGGUCUAUGUGCCCCUGGGGCCCUUUAGGCCGGGACAUUUUGACUCCAUUCCUCCUAAAAAAGAACCAGCGCAAACCUCCUGGAUUGAAGUCUCCAAUGAUUCAUUCAACAAACUGUGACAGAAACAAUUUGCUUCAGAGAAACCUUGCUCCCUGGAGAAUCUGUCGCUCUGUGUCAUCCUCACGGACAAGAAAAUUCAAGAACAAACCAGCGUGAAUGUGGGCAAAGAGGUGACAUGGGUGCCUCCCACAGGUCCUACCUCAAACCCUGACAGUAUCCCCUGCUUAAGAUCCCACCCUCAGCUCUCUCAGUCCACCAUGACACUCUCCUACCUCGAAUGUGAACAACACCACGUCAUAGACUGGGGUUCAGAGCUAAUAAAGAGGGAAGCAAGCUGGGCCCUGGCUCACACCUCUCUCUCUCUUUCCUAACUGCCGAGCAGCGCGGCCAGCUGCCUCAAGCUCCUGCCACCACGGUGGCCUUCAUCCUCCAACUGUGAGCCAAAGCGGUGAGAGAAGCAACUAUACAGCCAGUCUCCUGUGAAGAGCUGGGUGGGGCAGAGGACCACAGGAGCUUCCAAAGCCCUGGGCAGAACACAACUGUGCUACACAGUGGCCCGAUGCUCACCGAUGACCUGCUCACUGGCACUCACUGUGUUCCUGGUCCCAUCUUAGAUCUCCUUUCCUGCUCUACUUUCCCUCAUGGACCCAAAAAUGACAUCCUGUGUCCCUGCCCCGAUAG
rnacentral:lncRNA from 1 species